UUUAGCUGAUGAAACAGUGCUUUUUCAAUGAGCUUACUUAGAUAAGGACGAUUUGAGAUCAGCCUGUAGGUGCUCAUUUGUGUCUUGUCUAGAUUCUCUGUGUAGCCGAGG